GCCGAAACCCCGCCUUGGCGUGCCUUGGCUCCCGACGUGACAGCCGGGUGGCGGCGGACGUCGAGGUUUUGGGGACUUCUGAGGUGACCGGGUCCUAGAUCUGUGCGCGCACUUCCUAGCCCCCGCUGCGUGUGGAGGCCCGGGGCUGGGACGUGGGCCAAGGCCAGGGGCGCUCGGUGCCUGAGCGGGGCGGGGCAGGACCCGAGCCUGGAAGCCUGGAGGCUGGCUCGGUCCCUCCCCCUCAGGAUCUCAUGGAGCCCAGAGCCACCAAGAGAAAAGCCGAGGCUCUAGACGUGGCCCCCACGCUGCCCACGGAGCCCGCCCUGUACUCUGGGCCCUUCCCUUUCUACCGGCGCCCUUCGCAAUUAGGCUGCUUUUCCCUGGACGCGCAGCGCCGGUACCACGGCGACGCCCGAGCGCUGCGCUACUACAGCCCGCCCCCCAUCAACGGCCCGGGCCCCGACUUCGACCUCCGGGACGGGUACCCCGAGCGAUACCUACGCCGGGACGAGGAGGUCCGCGAGGGCUUGGACCACCUGCUGCGCUGGCUUCUGGAGCACCGAGGCCAGCUGGAGGGGGGCCCAGGCUGGCUGGCAGGGGCCACAGUGACGUGGCGCGGACACCUGACAAAGUUGCUGACGACCCCGUACGAGCGGCAGGAGGGCUGGCAGCUGGCAGCCUCCCGGUUCCAGGGAACACUCUACCUGAGUGAGGUGGAGACGCCCACCGCUCGGGCUCAGAGACUUGCUCGCCCGCCGCUCCUGCAGGAGCUCAUGUACAUGGGCUACAAGUUCGAGCAGUACAUGUGUGCAGACAAACCCGGAGGCUUCCCAGACCCCUCCGGGGAGGUUAACACCAACGUGGCCUUCUGCUCUGUGCUACGCAGCCGCCUGGGAAGGCACCCCCUGCUCUUCUCAGGAGAGGUAGACUGCACAGACCCCCAGGCUGCGUCUACACAGCCCCCCACCUGUUAUGUGGAGCUCAAGACCUCCAAGGAGAUGCGUAGCCCUGGCCAGUGGAGGACCUUCUACAGACACAAGCUCCUGAAAUGGUGGGCUCAGUCAUUCCUCCCAGGGGUCCCGAAUGUUGUUGCUGGCUUCCGGAACCCAGAAGGUUUCGUCUGUUCCCUAAAAACCUUUCCUACCAUGAAGAUGUUUGAACACGUCAGGAAUGACCCUGAUGGCUGGAAUCCCUCAGUGUGCAUGAACUUCUGUGCCGCUUUCCUUAAUUUUGCCCAGAGCACAGUUGUUGAGGAUGAUCCCAGGCUUGUCCACCUAUUCUCCUGGGAGCCUGGUGGUCCAGUCACCGUGUCUGUACAUCGGGAUGCGCCCUAUGCCUUUCUGCCCACGUGGUACGUGGAAGCCAUGACCCAGGACCUCCCAUCACUCCCUAGGACACCCUCCCCCAAGGACUGAUACUUCAGAGGGCCACCAGCCCUGUGUAAGACUAAUAAAGGUGCAUUUCUGUGUCUCAACAUCCAUGCACAUACCUGCAGUUGUCCCUACCAUUGCUUCUGAUUGGCAGCUAACUCAGUGGGAGAUUCCCCACAUUUGCUGAGCCAUUAUUCCAGUGAGGACAACCAGAACUACCGACACCCUGUUACCGUAAACAAGACUACAGAGAACAAAGGAAAUGCAUACUGUUUCAUAGACAAAAGUGGGAGAUUUUUGUGGUCUUGCAUCGCACCACCACCCACCUCUGCAGGGACGCACCUGGGGCAGCUGGCGGUCAGAGCCUCGAAGACGCGCGAGGCAGCGCUGCAGGAAGAGGUGGAUCUCACUCUUCUCUGAACUGGUGGUGAGGUCCAGUGAGGUGAGACCUGAGGCCUGCUCAUCACAGCGGCCACGGGAGAAGGUGAACACUACCACAGGCAGCUGGGCCCGGGUACGGAGGGAGGCCAGCAAGGACAGGUACACUCCACGGUCCUGAGGAAGAAGGACACAGGCACAGGGUGAGUCCUUGAAUCAGUGGAAGAGGUGAGCUCAUGUCAAGCUCUGCAGGGCUCAAACCUAAAGUUCACGCCCUGGGAGACAAGAACAAAAGGGUGGUCAAGAAGCAGGUGUCGGCAGACACUGCUCCCAGCUCUCACCUGUGCAGGUCCCCCCUGGUGUGUGGGCUGCUUGGCCCCAAAGGUCUGUGCGUGUUUGCUCGUCCGUUCCUUCUUGGCUUCCACAGCAGCAUAAUAUCUGGGCACAGGAAGGGGUGGCCUCAGGCCUGACCCCAACUCCCCAGCCCUGGGAUUUCCCUCUGGUGUGGAAGGCCCUGGGCUUACCCCUUGGUGUGGAAGGCCCCUCGGGAGUCCAGUAGCAGGAAGAGCUCCCCCUGCGUCUUAGGGCUAUUCCCUGUAAAAAGAUAGUGCUCCAGGGGGACUGGGCGGGAGACAGUGCUGAUCACAAAGAUCUGCCGACGCUUUAGCCGCCUAAAGGGAGCAGAGGGCACAGUUCAGAGGUGGCUGCAGGAAGGAGCCCACUGUCUCCCAGUCCCAUCUGAGACCCAGAAUGGAAGAACUUCCCCCACCAUCCAUCUCAACAUGCAGAAUGUUUUGGGCCCAGGGGACCCUUCUCUUCCAGCCCUGAUUGAGGAAUACCAGGGCGCCUUCACCCGAUCACCAAGCUCACCCGAUCCAGUCAGCAAACUCCAGGGCAUUGGGGACAGUGGCACUCAGGAGGAUGAUGGAGACAUGGUCAGGGAGCAUGAUGAGUACCUCCUCCCACACGACCCCACGCUGGACACACAUGGGGAACACAGGUCACCAGGAGCACACAGACGAACUGCUGCCUCCCAAGCCCAGGUGGGCCAAGAAGGCAGUAAGGACGUCCUUGGGGUGUGGGUCAGGGGAGCUGCUCCCUGCUCCCUCACCUCGGCAUCGUUGAUAUAGUGCACUUCGUCAAAGAUCACCCACUCCAGGUCCCGGAUGACAUCUGAGCCACUGUAUAGCAUGGAGCUGAGAAAAAAAGGCCACAUGCUGAUACCUCAGUGGCUCCCAUCUCCUCAGCAGGCAGGCAGGCUCUCUGGAGCAGCCUCCUGGGACCACCCAAACCCACGUCAGAGGACCCCACUCUCACCGAAGGAUCUCCGUUGUCAUGAUGAGACAAGAGGCCUCCGGAUGCAGUUGCACGUCUCCAGUGAGCAGACCCACAUCCCCAAAUGUGUUCCGGAAGUCUCGGAACUUCUGGUUGCUCAGAGCCUUGAUGGGGGAAGUGUAGAUGGUCCUAGGAGAGUGUAAAGUGAGCCAAUCCCUCCACAUGCACCCAAAGCCAGCACCCAUCUUCAGUGUGAACUCUCCCAGAGUUACACUCUUUCUUCACACAAACAGCCCUGGAACUCUCCUAAACUAGCCUGCAUCAUCUUUCUACCCUUUUCUCCCACCAGGCUUCUGAUUUCUCUCUGGGCCCCAACUCAGCCUCCUGACCUCAUAUCUAAAGAAUGAGGCAGAGAGCUAACAGGAGAGAUGACUGGAGAAGGGGAAGCCAAGGAGACCAUUUUACCGUGUCAUGUGUUUCUGGGCCAGGGCAAUGGCAUACUCAGCUACAACUGUCUUCCCAGCCGACGUGUGAGCUGCCACAAAGACAGAGUCAUGCCGCUCCAGGUGCAGGAUGGCUUGUUUCUGGAACACGUCUGGCUCAAAUGCCCACUGUGUAAGAGAACGCAGUGGGCUGCAAGAAGAGGACCUUUCUUCUUCCCACACACAGGGCAGAGGGAGGAAGACCAAGACAGGCCUGGAAGGCGUCUGGCCUCUGGUGGAUGAAGGAGAUGAGGGGAUGCUAGAAGGCAGAGCCAGGCGCUGGGUCAUGAAGAGGUCAGAAGACUGUGCAAGACCUAGGCCAUAGUACCUUGAACGCUGGCUGCGGAAUGAGGCGGUAGAAAUCACCCACAGGGGAGGUAACGUCCACAGGGACGGCCCACUGCUCCUGAGGUGGAGGCUUGGGAGGUUCCGGGGAAGACAUGACUGUGGAUGCAUCCUAGAAAAGUCCGAGGCAGGGCUGGGGGAGGCUCUGUGGUUAAAGGCACUUGCUCCACAAGCCUGCAAACUGGAGUUCGGAUCCCCAGCACCCACAUAUGCCAGAUGCACAGAAGCACAAGCGUCUGUCAUCCCUACUGUCUAAACAAUGGGAGACAGUCAGGAAAAUUCCAAAGCCUGUGGGCCAGCUGGUGUGGCCUUUCUGAUGACAGAAACAAAUGAGAGCUACCGUGUCUCAAACAAGGUGGAAAGAGAAGAUCAACACCCUAAGGCUGUCCUCUGAUCUCCACAUGUGCACCACACACACACAUGUAUGCACGUAUAUUUUUAAAAGUGUCAGGGUGGGGGGUUAAUGCAUAGCCUCAGAGAGCGCUUGCCUGCCAGUCUCCCCAAGAUGUGCCGCUCCUCCCCUCAGACAACCAAGCCACCCACCCUCUCGAGGAGCAGGGCCUCUUCCUGCUCACCUCUUCCACCCAGAGCCACCCACCUUCAACACGAGGUCCUCCAAGCUGCUUGCUCGAGCCAGGGGAGCACUGGAGGGAGGGGACGAUGCAGUGUCUCCUCCAGGACCUCCUGGCUGGCCCACAGCCUCACUCUCGUCCUCAUCACCUCCACCCAGAUCCAGAGGCUCCAGCAGACGGCUGAGGCUGAGCAACCCGGGCACUGGAGCUGGGUGAUCUGAGGAGCAAAGCCACCUUGUCACAUCCAGCUGUCCCUAGAGCAGUGCACCCGGCAAAUCCUCAUCAAACUCACCCUUGGGAGCAAAGUCCACGCCUUUCUUGAAGCCCGGUGGGACAGUGAGAAGAUCUGGGGCGGGGGGAUAGAGAGACAGCAUCAGGGCUGUGGCAGGCUGUUGCAUGAGUUCUACACUAUACAACAGGGACAUUGCAGCUGGGCACGGCUGCUGUGACCAUUUCCUAAUAGCAGAAAGGAUGUCUCUCCUUUGUGAGAGGUUGGGAGGACACCUUUUCCUAAUUUCCAAAACCACACAAGGGUGGCCCUUCCUCUUCAGACAAAGAGCUCACCUCACCUUUCUCAAAGUCUAUCUCCUCCUCAGCCUCUUCCCGAGUGUUUAGAUCUGUGAUGGUAGGCUCAUCCAUCCCGCCUAGAGUGAUCACAGGUAUUCAAAAAAUGAGAGCAACUCAGGAUGAAUGGGGAAACCCUUUCCUGAAGUCUAAAUGCUCCCUCUGCCACCACCCUGUGACCACACAACUUACCUGGCCAGAAAGGGUACUGUGUUGGGUUCCCCCACAGAGACUGGGAGGCUGGCCCAGGAGGCCGGCGAAGAGACAAGGAGGUGGUGGCUGACAGACUGGUGUUCUCCAGCAGGACCUGAGGCAAGAGACCAGAGUCCCAGUGAAACUGAGCCUCAUCUCUGACCACCUUCCCCAGCUCUGCUUCCUGUGCUAGCUGCUGAUCUCUUACCUCCUUGUAGCCCAGUAUCUGGCCUGUGGUUGGGUGUCUUUGGGCCUGAAGGUCGGAUGGGACUGGAGCCCCAGGUGCAGCCAGGAGCGACCAGGGAUCGGUCUUUCUUGGCCAUUUUCUGGAGAGAGGAGGGAAGGUGACUUUGGAGUCUACUUUCUGCCUCUCCCUAUUUCUCAGCUGGCCUAGCUCAGGUCCCUCCAGAGUCCUCACCGAGCCGAGUGCUCUACAGCAUGCAGAGGGAGCCAGGCUGGGCAUGACAGGAACAGUUGCUCUGCUUCUUGCUGUAGGGCCGGGGCACAGGGAGGGAGGCCAUGGGGAAGCUGGGCCGAGGGCACGACAGAGAAAGUGCAAUUAAAAGAGGCAAUGCAGGCUGGAGAGAUGGCUUAGCAGUUAUGGCACUGGCCUGGGAAGCCUAAGGACCCAGGUUCAAUUCCCCAGGACCCAUGGAAGCCAGCUGCAUAAUGUGGCCCCUGUGUCUGGA